UACGAAGGGGGCUAGCGUUGCUCGGAAUGACUGGGCGUAAAGGGCGCGUAGGCGGAGUGUUUUGUCGGGCGUGAAAUUCCAGGGCUCAACCUUGGGGCUGCGUUCGAGACGGGCAUUCUGGAGUGGGGAAGAGGGUCGUGGAAUUCCCAGUGUAGAGGUGAAAUUCGUAGAUAUUGGGAAGAACACCGGUGGCGAAGGCGGCGACCUGGUCCUUGACUGACGCUGAGACGCGAAAGCGUGGGGAGCAAACAGGAUUGAGAAACCCUAAGGUAGUCC
rnacentral:rRNA from 1 species